CUCUGCUCAUGGUUCAAUGAUUCAUGGAUCCCAUGUGCAAGAUAUCUAUUUACUUUCAAGAUUUAAAAUCUACUGCUGACAACAUAGAUUAUGUGCACGCUCGAGGGUUGAAGCUUGAUAUUUACAGUGAUGCUGGGCUUCUUCAGUUAAACAAGGUACAACCCAGUCUGCAUAUCCUUUUGUUUAUUGAGCUAUCUUUGCCCA